CAGCAGCCGCGGUAAUACGUAGGUGGCGAGCGUUAUCCGGAAUUACUGGGCGUAAAGGGUGUGUAGGUGGCUGCCAUAGUCGGGCGUGAAAUCCCGGGGCUUAACCUCGGGUUUGCGUUCGAUACUUGGUGGCUGGAGUGCGGGAGAGGGAAGUGGAAUUCCCGGUGUAGCGGUGAAACGCGUAGAUAUCGGGAGGAACGCCGGUGGCGAAGGCGGCUUCCUGGCCCGUUACUGACGCUGAGGCACGAAAGCCAGGGGAGCGAACCGGAUUAGAUACCCGGGUAGUCCUGGCUGUAAACCAUGGGCGCUAGGUGUGGGUGGUGGUGAGCCAUCUGUGCCGAAGCUAACGCGUUAAGCGCCCCGCCUGGGGAGUACGGUCGCAAGGCUGAAACUUAAAGGAAUUGGCGGG
rnacentral:rRNA from 1 species